ACUUAUGAUGAGUUAGGUGAGCCUUUAAUUUUAGCUCUCAGUUCCUUUUUGUCAGAGUUUCGCAAUUGUAUUCUCUCAGAGCACUUUCCUUCACACACCUGUUAAGUCAAGUGUGCAUGCAGAGACUCAUGCACUUUAGAGGGGGAGAGUGUAACCCAGGUCAUUUUUUGAGUAUGGGAUUUCUGAUUAUUUGGUAGUCACUGAACGCACCACUGUGCCUUGCGCAUAGCCACUCCCUAGUUUAGCCACAGAGUUUUUCCUCCGUUCGUCCGAUGAGGCGCAUGCUGCUCUCGUGCCCUCUGCGAGCUGGAAAUUCGGGAGUCUUGUAGUGUUACGAGCGUGAAGCUGAGCUGAAUCCGACAGCCAUUCGCCAUUACAUGAACCCCUCUGGCUGGUUUGUUUGACCUUUUGGUGCCUUGGAUCCUACUGGAUGAACUGCCUUGUGGAAGCCCUCAUCUGAUGACUCCGCUGAACCGUCCUGGCUAGUAGAUGGUCAUUGCUACGGGUGGAUGCUUCUGCUUGCUGGAUACUAUUAUUGGAUGCUACACCGUUCCAACAGAGCGGUAGGAACAAUUCAAAGGGCCCCAACAGUACACUUUACUUUUCCCUGAGCUCAGGUGGUUUUCUUUUGGCCAAAGGACCUUGAAGGAUACAUAUUU